rnacentral:rRNA from 1 species
UACAGAGGGUGCGAGCGUUAAUCGGAUUUACUGGGCGUAAAGCGUGAGUAGGUGGCUCGCUAAGUCGAUUGUGAAAGCCCUGGGCUCAACCUGGGAAUUGCAGUCGAUACUGGUGAGCUAGAGUUCGGUAGAGGGUGACGGAAUUCCCGGUGUAGCGGUGAAAUGCGUAGAUAUCUGGAGGAACACCGGUGGCGAAGGCGGCAUCCUGGACCAAUACUGACGCUGAGGAGCGAAAGCCAGGGGAGCAAACGGG